rnacentral:rRNA from 1 species
CCUACGGGAGGCUGCAGUGGGGAAUAUUGGACAAUGGGGGAAACCCUGAUCCAGCGACGCCGCGUGAGUGAAGAAGUAUUUCGGUACGUAAAGCUCUAUCAGCAGGAAAGAAAAUGACGGUACCUGACUAAGAAGCCCCGGCUAACUACGUGCCAGCAGCCGCGGUAAUACGUAGGGGGCAAGCGUUAUCCGGAUUUACUGGGUGUAAAGGGAGCGUAGACGGCAGCGCAAGUCUGGAGUGAAAUGCCGGGGCUCAACCCCGGAACUGCUCUGGAAACUGUGAAGCUGGAGUGCAGGGGAGGUAAGCGGAAUUGCUGGUGUAGCGGUGAAAUGCGUAGAUAUCAGGAGGAACACCGGCGGCGAAGGCGGCUUACUGGACUGUAACUGACGUUGAGGCUCGAAGGCGUGGGGAACAAACAGGAUUAGAUACCCGAGUAGUC